UACGGGGGGGAGCAAGCGUUGUUCGGAUUUACUGGGCGUAAAGGGCGCGUAGGCGGCCACCGCAAGUCGACUGUGAAAUCUCCGGGCUUAACCCGGAAAGGUCAGCCGAUACUGCGGGGCUAGAGUGCAGAAGGGGCAACUGGAAUUCUCGGUGUAGCGGUGAAAUGCGCAGAUAUCAGGAGGAACACCGGUGGCGAAGGCGGGUCUCUGGGCCGAUACUGACGCUGAGGAGCGAAAGCGUGGGGAGCGAACAGG
rnacentral:rRNA from 1 species